GUGAAACAUUCUUUUCGGUUAAGCGAUGUGCAAAUAAAAUACUUAGAUGAGGACAAUGAAGAG
rfam:Lepisosteus oculatus linkage group LG15, whole genome shotgun sequence.